GGCGUUGAAGCAUGAUCGUAAGGACAUGUGGAGCGCUUAGAAGUGAGAAUGCCGGUGUGAGUAGCGAAAGAUGGGUGAGAAUCCCGUCCACCGAUUGACUAAGGUUUCCAGAGGAAGGCUCGUCCGCUCUGGGUUAGUCGGGUCCUAAGCUGAGGCCGACAGGCGUAGGCGAUGGAUAACAGGUUGAUAUUCCUGUACCACCUAUAAUCGUUUUAAUCGAUGGGGGGACGCAGUAGGAUAGGCGAAGCGUGCGAUUGGAUUGCACGUCUAAGCAGUAAGGCUGAGUAUUAGGCAAAUCCGGUACUCGUUAAGGCUGAGCUGUGAUGGGGAGAAGACAUUGUGUCUUCGAGUCGUUGAUUUCACACUGCCGAGAAAAGCCUCUAGAUAGAAAAUAGGUGCCCGUACCGCAAACCGACACAGGUAGUCAAGAUGAGAAUUCUAAGGUGAGCGAGCGAACUCUCGUUAAGGAACUCGGCAAAAUGACCCCGUAACUUCGGGAGAAGGGGUGCUCUUUAGGGUUAACGCCCAGAAGAGCCGCAGUGAAUAGGCCCAAGCGACUGUUUAUCAAAAACACAGGUCUCUGCUAAACCGUAAGGUGAUGUAUAGGGGCUGACGCCUGCCCGGUGCUGGAAGGUUAAGAGGAGUGGUUAGCUUCUGCGAAGCUACGAAUCGAAGCCCCAGUAAACGGCGGCCGUAACUAUAACGGUCCUAAGGUAGCGAAAUUCCUUGUCGGGUAAGUUCCGACCCGCACGAAAGGCGUAACGAUUUGGGCACUGUCUCAACGAGAGACUCGGUGAAAUCAUAGUACCUGUGAAGAUGCAGGUUACCCGCGACAGGACGGAAAGACCCCGUGGAGCUUUACUGUAGCCUGAUAUUGAAAUUCGGCACAGCUUGUACAGGAUAGGUAGGAGCCUUUGAAACGUGAGCGCUAGCUUACGUGGAGGCGCUGGUGGGAUACUACCCUAGCUGUGUUGGCUUUCUAACCCGCACCACUUAUCGUGGUGGGAGACAGUGUCAGGCGGGCAGUUUGACUGGGGCGGUCGCCUCCUAAAAGG
rnacentral:rRNA from 1 species